rnacentral:rRNA from 1 species
UCCUACGGGAGGCAGCAGUGGGGAAUUUUCCGCAAUGGGCGAAAGCCUGACGGAGCAAUACCGCGUGAGGGAAGACUGCCUAUGGGUUGUAAACCUCUUUUUUCAGGGAGGAAUAAAUGACGUGUACCUGAAGAAUAAGCAUCGGCUAACUCCGUGCCAGCAGCCGCGGUAAGACGGAGGAUGCAAGUGUUAUCCGGAAUCACUGGGCGUAAAGCGUCUGUAGGUGGUUGUUUAUGUCAACUGUUAAAUCUUGAGGCUCAACUUCAAAAUCGCAGUCGAAACUAUUCAACUAGAGUAUAGUAGGGGUAAAGGGAAUUUCCAGUGGAGCGGUGAAAUGCGUAGAUAUUGGAAAGAACACCGAUGGCGAAGGCACUUUACUGGGCUAUUACUGACACUCAGAGACGAAAGCUAGGGUAGCAAAUGGGAUUAGAUACCCCAGUAGUCCUAGCCGUAAACAAUGGAUACUAGAUGUUGGGCAGAUCGACCUGUUCAGUAUUAAAGCUAACGCGUUAAGUAUCCCGCCUGGGAAGUAUGCGCGCAAGCGUGAAACUCAAAGGAAUUGACGG